rnacentral:misc_RNA from 1 species
GGUGAACAAUGCACACAUCCAUCCAGAAUCCAGAAAAUCAGCUAAGAAAGAAACCAUGAACACACGCUAUGUGGUUCAUAGAGCAGUGCGCACAUCUCUUUAGUAGCAUCAAUCAGAUAUCUCAUUAUAAGGUACUUUCUGAUAACAAAUAAGCCCAUGUUCAGCCCCCAUGCUUAAACAGUUUUAGAUAUGCUACAAUUUCUGAGCAAGCUAGAAGUGAGAAAUUUCCCUUGCAAACAAAAAGCAAGUGAUAAAAAGCGCACUUCGUUUUUUUUAAUGGAUGUCCAUUGCCCCCCUAUAGUUGCAAGGUAAAAAAC